UACGAAGGGGGCUAGCGUUGCUCGGAAUCACUGGGCGUAAAGCGCACGUAGGCGGCUUUUUAAGUCAGAGGUGAAAUCCUGGAGCUCAACUCCAGAACUGCCUUUGAUACUGAGAAGCUUGAGUCCGGGAGAGGUGAGUGGAACUGCGAGUGUAGAGGUGAAAUUCGUAGAUAUUCGCAAGAACACCAGUGGCGAAGGCGGCUCACUGGCCCGGUACUGACGCUGAGGUGCGAAAGCGUGGGGAGCAA
rnacentral:rRNA from 1 species